rnacentral:ribozyme from 1 species
CUAAAAGGAAAGAAAACAAUUCAUUCACUGUUUAUUUUCAUGUUGCUACCGACAUAUAUCUAUAGAGAAUUUUUAACAAUUACGGUAUGAUGGGGGGUGGAU